rnacentral:rRNA from 1 species
AUUGAACGCUAGCGGGAUGCCUUACACAUGCAAGUCGAACGAGUCGCGCACGGGUGAGUAACGUAUCGGAACGUGCCCAGCAGCGGGGGAUAACUACUCGAAAGAGUGGUUAAUACCGCAUACUUUUGGAGCGGCCGAGACUGGACUAGCGAGUUGGUGGGGUAAAGGCUCACCAAGGCAACGCUCCGUAGCUGGUUUGAGAGGACGACCUGCCACACUGGGACUGAGACACGGCCCAGACUCCUACGUGAGGCAGCAGUGGGGAAUUUUGGACAAGGGGGGAAACCCUGAUCGAGCCAUCCCGCGUGUGUGAGAAGGCCUUCGGGUUGUAAAUUUCUUUUAGCAGGGAAGCGGUAUCUGCAUAGAAAGCACCGGCUAACUACGUGCCAGCAGCCGCGGUAAUAC